GUGUGUGUGUGUGUGUGUGUGUGUGUGUGUGGGUGUAUAUAUAUAUAUAUAUAUAUAUACACCUAUACACACACACACAUCCAUACAC